rnacentral:tRNA from 1 species
UAGCUUAGCUGCAAAGCACUUGCCUUCCAUGCAAAAGAUCUUAGGUUCAAUUCAUAA